rnacentral:rRNA from 1 species
GAGUUUGAUCGUGGCUCAGAGCGAACGCUGGCGGCAGGCCUAACACAUGCAAGUCGAACGAUCCUUCGGGAUAGUGGCGGACGGGUGAGUAACACGUGGGAACGUGCCCUUUGGUACGGAACAACUCAGGGAAACUUGAGCUAAUACCGUAUGUGCCCUUCGGGGGAAGAUUUAUCGCCAUUGGAGCGGCCCGCGUCUGAUUAGCUAGUUGGUGAGGUAACGGCUCACCAAGGCGACGAUCAGUAGCUGGUCUGAGAGGAUGAUCAGCCACACUGGGACUGAGACACGGCCCAGACUCCUACGGGAGGCAGCAGUGGGGGAAUCUUGCGCAAUGGGCGAAAGCCUGACGCAGCCAUGCCGCGUGAAUGAUGAAGGUCUUAGGAUUGUAAAAAUUCUUUCACCGGGGACGAUAAUGACGGUACCCGGAGAAGAAG